UACAGAGGGUGCAAGCGUUAAUCGGAAUUACUGGGCGUAAAGCGUGCGUAGUCGGUUAUUUAAGUCGGGUGUGAAAGCCCCGGGCUCAACCUGGGAAUUGCAUUCGAUACUGGAUAGCUAGAGUUCGGCAGAGGGAAGCGGAAUUUCCGGUGUAGCGGUGAAAUGACGUAGAUAUCGGAAGGAACAUCAGUGGCGAAAGCGGCUUCCUGGACCAGAACUGACGAUCAGGCACGAAAGCGUGGGGGAGCAAACAGG
rnacentral:rRNA from 1 species